GGGCGAGUAGUCUAGGGGUUAUGAUUUCUGCUUUGCACUCGAAUAAGAGUAAUUGCAGAGGGUCCCGCGUUCAAAUCGCGGCUCGUCCA